rnacentral:rRNA from 1 species
GAUGAACGCUGGCGGCGUGCCUAAUACAUGCAAGUCGAGCGAACAGAUAAGGAGCUUGCUCCUUUGGCGUUAGCGGCGGACGGGUGAGUAACACGUGGGUAACCUACCUAUAAGACUGGAAUAACUCCGGGAAACCGGGGCUAAUGCCGGAUAACAUUUAGAACCGCAUGGUUCUAAAGUGAAAGAUGGUUUUGCUAUCACUUAUAGAUGGACCCGCGCCGUAUUAGCUAGUUGGUAAGGUAACGGCUUACCAAGGCAACGAUACGUAGCCGACCUGAGAGGGUGAUCGGCCACACUGGAACUGAGACACGGUCCAGACUCCUACGGGAGGCAGCAGUAGGGAAUCUUCCGCAAAGGGCGAAAGCCUGACGGAGCAACGCCGCGUGAGUGAUGAAGGUCUUCGGAUCGUAAAACUCUGUUAUUAGGGAAGAACAAAUGUGUAAGUAACUGUGCACGUCUUGACGGUACCUAAUCAGAAAGCCACGGCUAACUACGUG